GGUUAAGACACCGCCUUUUCACGGCGGUAACACGGGUUCGAAUCCCGUACGGACUA
rnacentral:tRNA from 1 species